GAUGAACGCUAGCGGGAGGCCUAACACAUGCAAGCCGAGCGGUAUUUCUUCUUCGGGAGAGAGAGAGCGGCGUACGGGUGCGGAACACGUGUGCAACCUGCCUUUAUCUAGAGGAUAGCCUUUCGAAAGGAAGAUUAAUACUCUAUAAUAUAUUAAUUGGCAUCAAUUGAUAUUGAAAACUCCGAUGGAUAGAGAUGGGCACGCGCAAGAUUAGCUAGUUGGUGAGGUAACGGCUCACCAAGGCAAUGAUCUUUAGGGGGCCUGAGAGGGUGAUCCCCCACACUGGUACUGAGACACGGACCAGACUCCUACGGGAGGCAGCAGUGAGGAAUAUUGGUCAAUGGGUGCAAGCCUGAACCAGCCAUCCCGCGUGAAGGAUUAAGGUCCUAUGGAUUGUAAACUUCUUUUGUAUAGGGAUAAACCUACCCUCGUGAGGGUAGCUGAAGGUACUAUACGAAUAAGCACCGGCUAACUCCGUGCCAGCAGCCGCGGUAACAC
rnacentral:rRNA from 1 species